rnacentral:rRNA from 1 species
UGGGGAAUUUUGGACAAUGGGCGAAAGCCUGAUCCAGCAAUGCCGCGUGUGUGAAGAAGGCCUUCGGGUUGUAAAGCACUUUUGUCCGGAAAGAAAUCCUUGGCUCUAAUACAGUCGGGGGAUGACGGUACCGGAAGAAUAAGCACCGGCUAACUACGUGCCAGCAGCCGCGGUAAUACGUAGGGUGCAAGCGUUAAUCGGAAUUACUGGGCGUAAAGCGUGCGCAGGCGGUUUGCUAAGACCGAUGUGAAAUCCCCGGGCUCAACCUGGGAACUGCAUUGGUGACUGGCAGGCUAGAGUAUGGCAGAGGGGGGUAGAAUUCCACGUGUAGCAGUGAAAUGCGUAGAGAUGUGGAGGAAUACCGAUGGCGAAGGCAGCCCCCUGGGCCAAUACUGACGCUCAUGCACGAAAGCGUGGGGAGCAAACAGGAUUAGAUACCCUGGUAGUCCACGCCCUAAAACGAUGUCAACUAGUUGUUGGGGAUUCAUUUCCUUAGUAACGUAGCUAACGCGUGAAGUUGACCGCCUGGGGAGUACGGUCGCAAGAUUAAAACUCAAAGGAAUUGACGGGGUCAU